rnacentral:lncRNA from 1 species
AUAUCCCCAAAGUGUCUCCAGUCCAUUCAAAAAUGCCCCAAAUGCGUCUUCAGAUAUCCCCAGAAAUAUUCUGAAUUUCCCCAAUUUCCCAAUUUUUCCUAAUUUUUCCCAAAAUCCCCAUUUCCCCCAAUUUCCCCAUUUCCCUAAAAUCCUCAUUUUUCCCAUUUUCCCAGUUUCCCAAUUUUUCCCCAUUUCCCCCAAUUUCCCAAUUUUCCCAAAAUCCCCAUUUUUUUUCCAUUUUCCCCAUUUCCCCAUUUUUCCCCAAAAUCCCCAAUUUCCCAAUUUUUUGCCAAAUCCCCAUUUUCCCCCAAUUUCCCAAAAUCCCCAUUUUUCCCAACUUCCCCAUUUUUGCCAAAUCCCCAUUUCCCCCCAAUUUCCCAUUUUCCCCAAAAUCCCAUUUUCCCCAUUUCCCCCAAUUUCCCAAUUUUUCCCAUUUUUCCCCCUUUUCCCCAAUUUCCCCCCAAAAUCCCCAUUUCCCCAAAAUCUCCAAAAUCCCCAUUUUCCCCAAUUUCCCCAAUUUCCCCAAAAUCCCCAUUUCCCCCAAUUUCCCCAUUUCCCUAAAAUCCUCAUUUUUCCCAUUUUCCCAGUUUCCCAAUUUUUCCCCAUUUCCCCAAUUUCCCAAUUUUUCCCAUUUUCCUCAUUUUCCCCCAAUUUCCCCAUUUUUCCCAAUCUCCUGAUUUCCCCAAAAUCCCCAUUUUCCCAAGAUCCCAAUUUCCCCCAAUUUCCCAAAAUCCCCAUUUUUCCCAAUUUCCCCAUUUUCCCCAGUUUCUCAAUUUUUCCCAAUUUUUCCCAAUUUCCCAAAAUCCCCGUUUUCCCCCAAUUUCCCAAUUUUUCUCAAAACCCCCAUUUUUCCCAAAAUCCCCAUUUUCCCCAUUUUUCCCCAUUUUUCCCAAUUUCCCCAAAAUCCCCAUUUUCAUCAAAAACGCCCAAAAUCACCCCAAAAUUCAGCCCAGAAAUCCCCAAAUUGGGCCCCAAAAUCUCCAAGUUUGUCUCCAAAUUCAGCCCCAAAAAAUCCCAAAAUUUGGCUUCAAAAUCCCCCAAAUUUGGCCCCAAAUUCUCCAGGUUUAGCCCUAAAAUCAGCCCCAAAAUUUGGCUCUAAAAUCCCCAAAUUCAGCCCCAAAAUCUGGAUCCAAAACCCCAAAAUUUGGCUCCAAAAUCCUCAAAUUCAUCCCAAAAACCCCCAAAAUUUGGCCCCAAAUUGGGCCCCAAAAUCUCCAAGUUUGUCUCCAAAUUCAGCCCCAAAUUUUCCUCAAAAAAACCCCAAAAUCAGCCCCAAAAUUGGCUCUAAAAUCCCCAAAUUUGGCCCCAAAAUUCGCUUUAAAAUCCCCAAAUUUGGCCCCAAAAAUGGCUUUAAAAUCCCCAAAUUUCACCCCAAAAUUGGAUCUAAAAUCCCAAAUUUGGCCCCAAAAUUGGCCCCAAAAUCCCAAAAUUCAGCCCCCAAAUUCGCUUUAAAAUCCCCAAAAUUUGGCCCCAAAAUUGGCCCUAAAAUCCCCAAAUUUGGCCCCAAAAUUCGCUUUAAAAUCCCAAAAUUUGGCCCCAAAUUUGGCUUUAAAAUCCCAAAAUUUGGCCCCAAAAUUGGCCCCAAAAUCCCCA